AGAGGGGAGAACCCAUCGUAGCCAACAUGGCUCCUUUAAUCACUAACCAACCUACUGGCAUCAAAGCCUGGGUUUAGUCUCAUCAUUACAACUGGGAACACACGUGUCAGCCUCUCUCAGUCCCAGGUGAAGUGGUGAUGCUGGUGAGGGUGUCUUUCUGUCUGCUGAGGAAAAAAAAACAGGGCCUCUGUGUCGCCUUGGGAUUCGGUCUUGGGCUCUAGGAUGGGGGAGACGAAUCCUGACAGGUCGAAAUUCCUGAGGCACAGAACAUGAAUCACACCAAGAUUAGAGCAUCAAAGCGGGUCACGUGUGUGUUCUCCACGCCGCCAAAGCCCACCCCCACGGCCGUGCCGAGUGUGUCCAUGUGUGUUACAGGCCGUCCUGGUUAGGAGGACGGGAGGAAUCAAUCACUUAUAGGGAGGAAAACUGGAUCAUUGGGGGAUAUCUGCAGAAUGCUUUAUUAUAGAAGGCCACAUUGUCUGCUGCUUGCAUCAAGACUGGGCAACUUGCUGCUCCUAGGACACAUUACCUUCCAGGCAAAACUUGGACAGAUUAAUGGGGUCUGAAAGAACCAGAUCACUGGACUAUUAGUGUGUACAGCUUAUUGUGUCG